rnacentral:misc_RNA from 1 species
CAGAGUUGCAAAACUCCCUAAACCAUUGUGAACGUUACCUUUACCGUUGCUUCGGCGGGAGGCCCGGGUCCUGCCCGGCGCCCCUCGGCCCUCGCGGGCGCCCGCCGGAGGAAAACCAAACUAUUGCAUUGUAUGGCCUCUCUGAGUCUUCUGUACUGAAUAAGUCA